rnacentral:rRNA from 1 species
GAUGAACGUUGGCGGCGUGCCUAAUACAUGCAAGUCGAACGAAUCUUCUUCGGAAGAUGAGUGGCGAACGGGUGAGUAAUACAUAGGUAACCUGCCCCUGUGCGGGGGAUAACAGGAGGAAACUCCUGCUAAUACCGCAUAGCCAUGAGCACCGCAUGGAGCUCAUGCCAAAUAUCCUUUCGGGGAUAGCGCAGGGAUGGACCUAUGGCGCAUUAGCUGGUUGGCGGGGCAACGGCCCACCAAGGCAACGAUGCGUAGCCGGCCUGAGAGGGCGGACGGCCCAAUUGGGACUAAGACACGGCCCGGACUCCUACGGGAGGCAGCAGUAGGGAAUUUUCGGCAAUGGGGGAAACCCUGACCGAGCAACGCCGCGUGAGCGAAGAAGGCCUUCGGGUCGUAAAGCUCUGUUGUAAAGGAAGAACGGCGCAUACAGGAAAUGGUAUGCGAGUGACGGUACUUUACCAGAAAGCCACGGCUAACUACGUGCCAGCCGCCGCAGUAA